rnacentral:antisense_RNA from 1 species
CGGUAGGUGCACUCCCAGACGGCCUCGCCGGAGACCAGCGCCUGCUCGCCGAAGUGCGCCCCGUCGGCGAGGAAACCGAGCUCGGUCUCGUCACCGUACGGGCCGGUGCCGAUCUUCUCGACCCGGCCGUGCGCCAGCAGGAACACCCGGUCGGUGACAUCACCGGCGGCGGCGACGACCUCACCCGCCGCGAACUCGCGCUGCUCGCAGCGGCUGGCCAGCUCGGUCAGGGCCGCCUCGUCCUCGUAGUCCCGCAGCGCGGGCAGCUCGCCCAGCUCGGCGGGGAUGACGGCGACCCGCUCGCCGGUCUGGACGAAGGUGAUCCGCCCGUCCCCCACCGAGUAGCUGAGCCGUCGGUUCACCCGGUAUGUACCGCCCUGCACCUGGACCCACGGCAGCAUCCGCAGCAGCCAACGGGAGGUGAUCUCCUGCAUCUGCGGGACGGACUUGGUGGUGGUCGCCAAGUUCCGCGCGGCGGCUGUGCCGAGACUCUGCUG